rnacentral:lncRNA from 1 species
UAUGCCACAGCCACAGCCACCACUGGAUCGGAGCAGCUCACCACCACUCACUUGGGGCAACACCAGAUCCUUAACCCUCUGAGUGAGGCCAGGGAUCAAACCCACAUCCCCAUGAAUACUGAGGUUCGCUUCCACUGAGCCACAACAGGCACUCCUAGGAGAACAGUUUUGUCAAUGGCCCUGUUAGCCAACUCUUGGUCAGUUCACCGUCAGGAGUGACGGUGACAUCUGGAAUUGGGGCUUUUUUUUUUUUUUUUUUUACCUCUUGGUCUCAUGAACCAGCCAGAGUUCUUCAUUUCCGAGCUGGGCGUGUGCCCACCAUCAUCUGCUCCUUCGGACUCCUCCAUGUAAUCCUAGGGGACAGGCUUGUCAAGGUCCACUUGACUGAAAAAUAAAAAGAAUACUUGGGCUAGAAAAGGAGCGGUUUGAGGGAAGGCCUGUGGAAGGGUCUUUAGUGAGCAGGAAGGUGUGCGCAUGCGCACAUGCCGCCAGGCUUUGGGCGGCGUGGGAGCCAGGGGUCCCGCCAAGGGCCACAGAAAGAGGCCCAGGGAGCCAGCGAGCGAGAGAGGCUGAUGGUGGGGCCUGUAGGUGGAAUCCUGGUCUCCAAGGCAACAAGCACGACGGGGAAGCUCAGCUUUUGUUACCUCCUGGCAAGGGAUCACGGACAUUUCUUGUGUGCGUUGAAAUGUCAGGAGAUAUUAAGAAAUGGAGACAUGGAGUUCCCAUUGUGGCACAGUGAAAAUGACUCCCGUUAGUAUCCUCGAGGAUGCGGGUUCGAUCCCUGGUCUCACUCAGUGGGUCGGGGAUCAGUGUUGCCAUGAGCUGUUGUAUAGGUUGCAAACUCAGCUCAGAUCAUGUGUUGCUGUGGCCUAGGCCACCAGCUGCAGCUCCGAUUUGACCCCUAGCCUGGGAACUUCCAUAUGCCACAGGUGCAGCCCUAAAAAGCAAAAAAAGAAAGAAGGAAACGUAGACAUGAACUGGCACUCAAGGCUUCUUUCCUGAUUCUUGGCGCUGUAACUACUGCCUCCUCUGCUUUUGCCUGUCCUCUACCCUCUCCCAAAGAUGACCUUCGUGGUGGUGACCCCAAGUGUGGAGGAAGCCCAGACAUCCCUUCACCUGUAAGCCCUGGUUUUCUCCUCUGCGUGGAGAUGCCGAUGUCAUCUCCCUCCCUUGCAGGCAAUGAGGAUUGAGCAGAGUCAGUGUGGG